rnacentral:misc_RNA from 1 species
GGGGUGUGGUGUUUGAGUUGUGGAUAGUGGUUGCGAGCAUCUAGCACGCGAAUACGUGAGGCUCUCACCGCCUGUAUGGGUGGUGUGGGCCAGUGUUUGUGUGCAUAUUGAUGUGCAAUUUCUUUUGAAACUCAUUUUUUGGUUUU